rnacentral:rRNA from 1 species
GAUGAACGCUGGCGGCGUGCUUAACACAUGCAAGUCGAACGGGAAUUACUUUAUUGAAACUUCGGUCGAUUUAAUUUAAUUCUAGUGGCGGACGGGUGAGUAACGCGUGGGUAACCUGCCUUAUACAGGGGGAUAACAGUCAGAAAUGGCUGCUAAUACCGCAUAAGCGCACAGAGCUGCAUGGCUCGGUGUGAAAAACUCCGGUGGUAUAAGAUGGACCCGCGUUGGAUUAGCUUGUUGGUGGGGUAACGGCCCACCAAGGCGACGAUCCAUAGCCGGCCGGAGAGGGGGAACGGCCACAUUGGGACUGAGACACGGCCCAGACUCCUACGGGAGGCAGCAGUGGGGAAUAUUGCACAAUGGGGGAAACCCUGAUGCAGCGACGCCGCGUGAAGGAAGAAGUAUCUCGGUAUGUAAACUUCUAUCAGCAGGGAAGAUAGUGACGGUACCUGACUAAGAAGCCCCGGCUAACUACGUG